AAACUAAAAUAGAAAUCUUAAUAAAAUAUUAAAAUAAAAACCUUAAUUAAAUCCUUGUAAAAAUCUAGUCAAAUAUUAAUCAAACCUUAAUCAAACCUUGAUCAAAUCCUUGUCAAAUUCUAAUCAAUUUCUAAAUAAGUCCUAACCAAACUCUAAACAAAUCUUAGUCAAAUCCUAGUCAAAUUCUAAUCAAACCUUAAACAAAUUCUAAACAAAUCGUAACCAAAUCCUAAUCAAAUCUUAAAUAAAUCUUAGUCAAAUCCUAAAAAAAAAUCUUAAAUAAGCCCUAAUCAAAUCCUAGACAAACUCUAGUCAAACUCUAAUCAAAUCCUAAUCAAAUCCUAAUCAAAUCUUAAUCAAACUAUAAUCAAAUCCUAAUAAAAUACUAAAUUAGUCCUAACUAAAUCCUAAGAAAAUCCUAAAUAAAUCUUAGUCAAAUUCUAGUCAAAUCUUAAUCAAAUCCUAAUCAAAUUAUAAUCAAAUCCUAAUAAAAUCUUAAUAAAAUCCUAGACAAAUCCUAAAUAAGUCCUAACCAAAUCCUAAAAAAAUCCUAGUCAAACUCUAGUCAAACCCUAAUCAAACC
rnacentral:lncRNA from 1 species